GACGAACGCUGGCGGCGUGCUUAACACAUGCAAGUCGAACGGAGAGACAUGGAAGCUUGCUUCUAUGAAUCUUAGUGGCGAACGGGUGAGUAACGCGUAAUCAACCUGCCCUUCAGAGGGGGAUAACAACGGGAAACCGUUGCUAAUACCGCAUACGAUCUAACCUCGGCAUCGAGGAUAGAUGAAAGGUGGCCUCUAUUUAUAAGCUAUCACUGAAGGAGGGGAUUGCGUCUGAUUAGCUAGUUGGAGGGGUAACGGCCCACCAAGGCGAUGAUCAGUAGCCGGUCUGAGAGGAUGAACGGCCACAUUGGGACUGAGACACGGCCCAA
rnacentral:rRNA from 1 species